rnacentral:rRNA from 1 species
UGGGGAAUAUUGGACAAUGGGCGCAAGCCUGAUCCAGCCAUGCCGCGUGAGUGACGAAGGCCUUAGGGUUGUAAAGCUCUUUUGGCGGGGAAGAUAAUGACGGUACCCGCAGAAUAAGCUCCGGCUAACUUCGUGCCAGCAGCCGCGGUAAUACGAAGGGAGCUAGCGUUGUUCGGAAUCACUGGGCGUAAAGCGCACGUAGGUGGGCAGUUAAGUCAGGGGUGAAAGCCCGAGGCUCAACCUCGGAAUUGCCUCUGAUACUGGCUGUCUAGAGUUCGAGAGAGGUGAGUGGAAUUCCUAGUGUAGAGGUGAAAUUCGUAGAUAUCGGGAGGAACACCAGUGGCGAAGGCGGCGACCUGGACCAAUACUGACGCUGAGGUGCGAAAGCGUGGGGAGCAAACAGGAUUAGAUACCCCCGUAGUCCCUGAGCGGGCUGGCAAGGCGCAU